UGGACGGUAUAGAAGAGAGAAUCCCGGAAUGAGAAGCGAGAUGAAGGUGGGAAUCCUCCAGCCCGAAAAUCAAAGGUUUCCAGAGUAAAGCUGAUCUGCUCGGGGUAAGUCGGGGCCUAAGGCGAGUUCGAAAGACGUAGUCGAUGGAUAACAGGUUGAAAUUCCUGUACCGCAAAUCAUCAGAACUGUGGGGACACAGAACCGAAGGGAAACCCGGGAAUGAAAAGACCGGGGCAAGCAGAGGACUGGUUAAGCUGGCAAAUCCGCUUAGCAACAGGAGACUGUGACGCGUACCGAACAGAAGUAGGGAAGUUUCCGUAGGGGCUGUCAAGAAAAGCCGCUAUUGUGUGAUAUGUGCCCGUACCGUAAACCGACACAGGUGGAUGAGGAGAGAAUCCUAAGGCCGGCGGGAGAAGCAUUGUUAAGGAACUCGGCAAAAUGACCCUGUAACUUCGGGAGAAAGGGUGCCUGGGAAACCAGGCCGCAGAGAAUAGGCUCAAGCAACUGUUUAGCAAAAACACAGGUCUAUGCAAAACCGAAAGGUGAGGUAUAUGGGCUGACGCCUGCCCGGUGCUGGAAGGUUACGAGGAGAGGUUAGCGAAAGCGAAGCUUUGAAUUUAAGCCCCAGUAAACGGCGGCCGUAACUAUAACGGUCCUAAGGUAGCGAAAUUCCUUGUCGGGUAAGUUCCGACCCGCACGAAAGGCGUAAUGAUUUGAGCGCUGUCUCGACAAUGCAUCCGGUGAAAUUGAAGUACCAGUGAAGAUGCUGGUUACCCGCGCCAGGACGGAAAGACCCCAUGGAGCUUUACUCCAGUUUGGUACUGGGAUUCGGUAUUGCAUGUACAGGAUAGGUGGGAGGCUUUGAGGCGGUGACGCCAGUUGCCGUGGAGCCAAUGUUGGGAUACCACCCUUGCAGUAUUGGGUUUCUAACCUGCGCCCGUGAACCGGGCGGGGGACAAUGCCAGACGGGGAGUUUGACUGGGGCGGUCGCCUCCGAAAGGGUAUCGGAGGCGCCCAAAGGUUCCCUCAGGAUGGUUGGAAACCAUCCAGAGAGUGUAAAGGCAGAAGGGAGCUUGACUGCGACACCGACGGGUGGAGCAGGUACGAAAGUAGGGCUUAGUGAUCCGGUGGUAUUAAGUGGGAAUGCCAUCGCUCAACGGAUAAAAGCUACCCUGGGGAUAACAGGCUUAUCACUCCCAAGAGUUCACAUCGACGGAGUGGUUUGGCACCUCGAUGUCGGCUCAUCGCAUCCUGGGGCUGUAGUAGGUCCCAAGGGUUGGGCUGUUCGCCCAUUAAAGCGGUACGCGAGCUGGGUUCAGAACGUCGUGAGACAGUUCGGUCCCUAUCCGGCGUGGGCGCAGGAUAUUUGAGAGGAGCUGUCCUUAGUACGAGAGGACCGGGAUGGACGGACCGCUGGUGGACCUGUUGCAGCGCCAGCUGCAUGGCAGGGUAGCCAAGUCCGGAAGGGAUAAACGCUGAAGGCAUCUAAGCGUGAAGCCCCCCUCAAGAUGAGAUAUCCCAUUCUAAGAAGAAGUAAGACCCCUUGAAGACGACGAGGUAGAUAGGGCAGAGGUGGAAGCGCAGCAAUGUGUGGAGCUGACUGUUACUAAUCGGUCGAGGGCUUGACCA
rnacentral:rRNA from 1 species